AUUAUUCAAUGCAACUGUUUUUGUUAUGCAAAAGCGGGUUGGAUUGGUUUCUGAGUAUGUGCUGACUUGCCUGUCGAGUCAGCUUACUCGAAAUGGAGUAGUGUUCGAGUGUGAUAUUCGGAUUGACUCAGUGUAAUAGACUAUUCGCUGAGGACACCUCGUGUGGCCGAUAUUGUACAACGUGGCGCUUCCAACUCGUCAAUUAAUUUAUUAUUUUU
rnacentral:misc_RNA from 1 species